UUUACAAAGGGCUGUGUAUGGUGCCAUCAUCAGAGAGCAGGCCUGGAGCUGCAGAGAUGCCAAGCCCUUGCUAUCUUUGCACUUUCUGCCCUCUGGUGCUCAGAGCAUUAACUUGGAUUGGUGAUGUGUUGGCAGCUUCUUGAGUAACAAGAUUUAUGACACAUAAAAGUUCUUUUGUUUUUCCCUGCCUAAACACUGGAAGAGAAACAGAAACAGACAGAAGAGGACAAAGCAGAUUACAGAUGCAGCCAAAGAAAAAUCAUGAAGCAGCUUACAGAUAGAGUGAAAAUGAAUAGCCCCAUCAAUGUCUGUGGCUGGUUCUGCUCAUUGCUUGCUUAUGCCUCAUAUAUCAUUG